rnacentral:rRNA from 1 species
GAGUUUGAUCAUGGCUCAGAUUGAACGCUGGCGGCAUGCCUUACACAUGCAAGUCGAACGGUAACAGGUCUUCGGAUGCUGACGAGUGGCGAACGGGUGAGUAAUACAUCGGAACGUGCCCGAUCGUGGGGGAUAACGGAGCGAAAGCUUUGCUAAUACCGCAUACGAUCUACGGAUGAAAGCAGGGGACCGCAAGGCCUUGCGCGGACGGAGCGGCCGAUGGCAGAUUAGGUAGUUGGUGGGAUAAAAGCUUACCAAGCCGACGAUCUGUAGCUGGUCUGAGAGGACGACCAGCCACACUGGGACUGAGACACGGCCCAGACUCCUACGGGAGGCAGCAGUGGGAAUUUUGGACAAUGGGCGAAAGCCUGAUCCAGCCAUGCCGCGUGCAGGAUGAAGGCCUCGGUUGUAAC